rnacentral:rRNA from 1 species
CCUACGGGAGGCAGCAGUGGGGAAUCUUGCGCAAUGGGCGAAAGCCUGACGCAGCCAUGCCGCGUGAAUGAUGAAGGUCUUAGGAUUGUAAAAUUCUUUCACCGGGGACGAUAAUGACGGUACCCGGAGAAGAAGCCCCGGCUAACUUCGUGCCAGCAGCCGCGGUAAUACGAAGGGGGCUAGCGUUGCUCGGAAUUACUGGGCGUAAAGGGAGCGUAGGCGGAUAGUUUAGUCAGAGGUGAAAGCCCAGGGCUCAACCUUGGAAUUGCCUUUGAUACUGGCUAUCUUGAGUGUGGGAGAGGUAUGUGGAACUCCGAGUGUAGAGGUGAAAUUCGUAGAUAUUCGGAAGAACACCAGUGGCGAAGGCGACAUACUGGCCCAUUACUGACGCUGAGGCUCGAAAGCGUGGGGAGCAAACAGGAUUAGAUACCCUGGUAGUCCACGCUGUAAACGAUGAGUGCUAGUUGUCGGCAGCAUGCUGUCGGUGACGCAGCUACGCAUAAGUACACUCCGCCGUCGGGGUAGGUACGGUCGGCGAAGAAGUUAAACCUUACAAUAGUAAGUUAGACGGCGUGAGACGUGCCGACGGACGACGACGAGGGAGGAGG